rnacentral:rRNA from 1 species
UACGUAGGGUGCGAGCGUUAAUCGGAAUUACUGGGCGUAAAGCGUGCGCAGGCGGUUUUGUAAGCCAGAUGUGAAAUCCCCGGGCUUAACCUGGGAAUGGCAUUUGGGACUGCAAGGCUUGAGUGCGGCAGAGGAGACUGGAAUUCCUGGUGUAGCAGUGAAAUGCGUAGAUAUCAGGAGGAACACCGAUGGCGAAGGCGGCCUUCUGGACAGUGACUGACGCUGAGACACGAAAGCGUGGGGAGCAAACAGG